CGCGGGGUGGAGCAGUUCGGUAGCUCGCUGGGCUCAUAACCCAGAGGUCGCAGGUUCAAAUCCUGUCCCCGCCA
rnacentral:tRNA from 1 species